rnacentral:lncRNA from 1 species
UAUCUGAGUCAUUUUUAAACCCUUCAGUUUCUGAGGUUGCGAGUUUAACUCCUCAUUAACCAUAUUCCAUGGGUUAAAAAUCUGGUUGAUCUUAUGAAUAACAAUGAAUCAACUUAUAAUAAAUUUUAGACUAACCAAAGACUAUUUUGAUUCCGCUAUCAAACCUUUCGAUUUGUUUGAUUUGAGUAAUUUUAUGACUUUUUGAUUAUGAAAUUUAAACUAAUUACUUACUUUAAUAAAUUUACAGUUAUGUAAACCGCACAAAAUGUGCUAACUAAAUUCGUAAAGAUAAAAAGACACAUUUAAGUUUUGAAGUGAAAGAGUUAAUAAAUUAAAAGGUCAGAUAGUAAUUAAAUCAAAAUUUUUAGACAAUAUAUAAAUAGUCAAAUCCAAAUAGGUAAUAGGUGAGACAAAUUUCAUACACUUUUAUCUAAUUUAUAAAAAAAUAUUAUAUUUAAAUCAUUGGAUAGUAAAAUACAAAUA